rnacentral:lncRNA from 1 species
GACGGGGCCACUCCCUUAUCUACCACUGUUUUCCUCCCCGACGAGCCCCCUCCUUUGCCAAUGCUCUUGUCCCAUCGCGCUUCACGGAUAAAAUAAACGGUUCUCAUGCAUCAUCAUGUAUGUAUGACUGCCAGAGACCCCAUCUCUAUCACACCCAUCCCUAUCACCCUCUCGAUCACCGUCUCCGUCAACUCAUCGCCUACCGACUAUAUCACCUUGAAGUGCUGCAAUAUCAUUCAACAAACUUUCGACCCUUCUUACCAAUUGUCGUCCCAAAUCAUCAACCCUCUCUAUCAUCUCUCGACGCAGCCCGUCAACCUGCCCUAUUAUAAAUAUGCUCAGACGGGCGUAUAGAUCAUCAAAAUAGUGCCCCUGAC